rnacentral:rRNA from 1 species
GAUGAACGCUGGCGGCGUGCCUAAUACAUGCAAGUCGAACGAACAGACGAGGAGCUUGCUGCUCGGACGUGAGCGGCGGACGGGAGAGUAACACGUGUAUAACCUACCUGUAAGACUGGGAUAAUCUCGGGAAACGGGAGCUAAUACGGGAUAAUAUAUUGAACCGCAGGGUGGAAUGGUGAAAGACGGUGUUGGUGUCACGUAUAGAUGGAUCCGCGCCGCAUUAGGUGGUUGCUAAGUUAACGGCUUUUCAAGGCAACGAGGCGUAGCCGACCUGAGUGGGUGAUAGGCCACACUGGAGCGGAGACGCGGUCAAGACUCCUACGGGAGGCACCAGUAGGGAAUCUUCCGCAGUGGGGGGAAGCAUGACGGAGCAACGCCGCGUGAGUGAUGAAGAUCUUGGGAUCGUAAUAAUCUGUUAUUAGGGAAGAACAAAUGUGUAAGUAACUAUGCACGUAUUGACGGUACCUAAUCAGAAAGCAACGGCUAACUACGUG